rnacentral:rRNA from 1 species
GAAUUCGCCCUUAGAGUUUGAUCCUGGCUCAGGAUGAACGCUGGCGGCGUGCUUAACACAUGCAAGUCGAACGGAGUACCCCUGAAGGAGUUUUCGGACAACUGAUGGGACUACUUAGUGGCGGACGGGUGAGUAACGCGUGAGUAACCUGCCUUGGAGUGGGGAAUAACAGCUGGAAACAGCUGCUAAUACCGCAUAAUAUGUCUGUGUCGCAUGGCACUGGACAUCAAAGAUUUAUCGCUCUGAGAUGGACUCGCGUCUGAUUAGCUAGUUGGCGGGGUAACGGCCCACCAAGGCGACGAUCAGUAGCCGGACUGAGAGGUUGGCCGGCCACAUUGGGACUGAGACACGGCCCAGACUCCUACGGGAGGCAGCAGUGGGGAAUAUUGGGCAAUGGGCGCAAGCCUGACCCAGCAACGCCGCGUGAAGGAAGAAGGCUUUCGGGUUGUAAACUUCUUUUCUCAGGGACGAAGCAAGUGACGGUACCUGAGGAAUAAGCCACGGCUAACUACGUGCCAGCAGCCGCGGUAAUACGUAGGUGGCAAGCGUUAUCCGGAUUUACUGGGUGUAAAGGGCGUGUAGGCGGGACUGCAAGUCAGAUGUGAAAGUCCGCGGCUCAACCGUGGAAUUGCAGUUGAAACUGGAGGCCUUGAGUGCACACAGGGAUGCCGGAAUUCAUGGUGUAGCGGUGAAAUGCAUAGAUAUCGCGCAGAACUCCGAUUGCGAAGGCAGCAUGCCGGCUCCACACUGACGCUGAGGCACGAAAGCGUGGGUAUCGAACAGGAUUAGAUACCCUGGUAGUCCACGCAGUAAACGAUGAAUGCUGGCUGUCCGGGGGGACUGACCCCUGGGUGGCGAAGCGAAAGCGAUAAGCAUUCCACCUGGGGAGUACGCCGGCAACGGUGAAACUCAAAGGAAUUGACGGGGGCCCGCACAAGCGGAGGAACAUGUGGUUUAAUUCGAUGAUACGCGAGGAACCUUACCCGGGCUCAAACGGGGAGUGACUCAGGCAGAGACGCCUGUUUCCCACGGGACACUCCCCGAGGUGCUGCAUGGUUGUCGUCAGCUUGUGCCGUGAGGUGUCGGCUUAAGUGCCAUAACGAGCGCAACCCCCGCGUGCAGUUGCUAACAGUCAACGCUGAGGACUCUGCACGGACUGCCGGCGCAAGCCGCGAGGAAGGCGGGGAUGACGUCAAAUCAGCACGGCCCUUACGUCCGGGGCGACACACGUGUUACAAUGGGUGGUACAGCGGGAAGCCAGGCGGCGACGCCGAGCGGAACCCGAAAUCCACUCUCAGUUCGGAUCGGAGUCUGCAACCCGACUCCGUGAAGCUGGAUUCGCUAGUAAUCGCGCAUCAGCCAUGGCGCGGUGAAUACGUUCCCGGGCCUUGCACACACCGCCCGUCA